rnacentral:snoRNA from 10 species
UCCCAGUGAGGAUUCUAUGACCAUAGGAAGUGCCGUAUGACACUUUAAACAGCAGCUGCUUU